GGCUAUUAUGAAAAUGUUUAUAGUCUAGCCUGCUCACUGAUAUAGAUAUUAAAUAGCCGCGGUAUCUUGACCGUGCAAAGGUAGCAUAAUCAUUAGUUUUUUAAUUGAAAACUUGUAUGAAUGGUUGGACAAAGAAGAGGCUGUCUCUUUUAUUAAAAUUGAAUUUAACUUUUAAGUGAAAAGGCUUAAAUUUUUCAAAGGGACGAUAAGACCCUAUAAAGCUUUAUAAUUUUAAAGAUUUUAUAUAUUUUUCUAUAGUAAUAAUUUCUUGAAAACUUAUUUGGUUGGGGCGACAAUAGUAUAAUUAGAAUAACUGCUUAAAAUUAAUACAAAUAUAUCUGAGUUAAAAUUGACUGAUCCUUUAUAAAGAUUUUAAGAUCAAGUUACUUUAGGGAUAACAGCGUUAUUUUUCCUGAGAGUCCUUAUCAAAGGAAAAGUUUGCGACCUCGAUGUUGAAUUAAAAUGUCUUUAUAGUGCAGCAGCUAUAAAAGAAGGUCUGUUCGACCUUUAAUAUUUUACAUGAUUUGAGUUCAGACCGGCGAGAGCCAGGUCGGUUUCUAUCUUUUGGAAAGAAAUAAUUUACCUUAGUACGAAAGGAUUGGGUAGAUGGAAAGUUUUUAAUGGUUGAAAU
rnacentral:rRNA from 1 species